rnacentral:lncRNA from 1 species
UAUAAAGUAACCUGUGGAACUGACUUGCUAAAUAUUAAAUAUUCCAUUAUGUUCUAGAUGUAAAAUUAAAUUCAAGGACAAAUGAUUUUUACGGUAUCAUUUGUCUGUGUUCUGAGAGAGAUUAUGAAACUUAUUAAAUCAUAAUGAUGCUUCAGCUAGGCAAAAGCUCAGAAUUUGUAGGCCCUCUUUGGGCAUAAUAUUGACUCUCCUUUGAAACUGGACAGGAAGAAGAAAAUGCAUUGAAUUCAUGUGCCUUUUUGGAUGCCGUGCUCUACUAUUCUACAGUGCUUCAUAAAACUAUGUGAGAUGUGCCCAUGCUGAUUCACCUGGUCUGCAGUUAGCAUCUAUCAACAAAACUGCUACCUGCACCUUCAUCUGGAGGGAAUCCAGAGCAAGGAAAUCACAAGCAAAUACUGAGAGGAUAUCUUCAGAAGAAACAGCAGCUAAGCUCCUGUACAGCCCAGAUGCUCAGCAUGGGCCUGUCUAAGCCUUUAUGCUGUAAUGGGAGUGUCAUGCAGCCCCUUCA